GGCAGCGAUGGCAAGUGGCUAUGCCAGCCGGUCCUGAACACCGGUGGUCUUCGGGCUUGGGGGUUCGACGCCCUCCGCUGUCGCCA
rnacentral:tRNA from 1 species